rnacentral:rRNA from 1 species
GGGGGCAACCCUGAUCCAGCCAUUCCGCGUGAGUGAAGAAGGCCUUCGGGUUGUAAAGCUCUUUCGGCAGGAACGAAACGGCGGGCUCUAACAUAGCCUGUUAAUGACGGUACCUGAAGAAGAAGCACCGGCUAACUACGUGCCAGCAGCCGCGGUAAUACGUAGGGUGCGAGCGUUAAUCGGAAUUACUGGGCGUAAAGCGUGCGCAGGCGGAUUGUUAAGCAAGACGUGAAAUCCCCGGGCUUAACCUGGGAAUGGCGUUUUGAACUGGCAGUCUAGAGUGCGUCAGAGGGGGGUGGAAUUCCACGUGUAGCAGUGAAAUGCGUAGAGAUGUGGAGGAACACCAAUGGCSAAGGCAGCCCCCUGGGAUGACACUGACGCUCAUGUACGAAAGCGUGGGUAGCAAACAGGAUUAGAUACCCUGGUAGUCCACGCCCUAAACGAUGUCAACUGGUUGUUGGGGGAGUGAAAUCCCUUAGUAACGAAGCUAACGCGUGAAGUUGACCGCCUGGGGAGUACGGUCGCAAGAUUAAA